rfam:Streptomyces sp. Root431 contig_8, whole genome shotgun sequence.
CCGACGGGUGACCGCCCGCUCGGAUACUGACCUCGGUACCUGAUACGGCCGGGGCAG